UUUAUUAUAGCCAUGAAAUGCUCUGCUCUCUUCUCUUUUCCUUGCUGUCCCCCGGGGCUGGAGGAACACAGGCCUCCCAGGCACCCGGCCUCAACCUUGCUGGACUCCCGUCUCCUUCCAAGGGCUGGGCCUAGGGGCCAGAAACCGAGCCUUAUUUGCAGCAGCAGAAGACUGGAGACACCCACGUGCCCAUCAAUAGGGGACUGAUUACAGAGAUUAUGACCCUGGAAAAGGGUCCAGCAAUGAGAGUGAACACAGCGGGUUGUGACAGAAGAAGCCGGACCCCAGAGGCUGUGCACACCAUCCUUCUCUUCCUCUCAAGACUCAAAUCUGUUCAGAUAAAAACUAAGCUACAACAGUUAGAGAUGCUCAUGAAGAAAAGUAAGGGGUGGGAGCGGAGGUGUAGCUCACGGGAGGGCUCCCGGCUGGCACGCACCGGACCUGGGUCCUGCACAGUACCAAGCGGGGAAAGUGUAAGGAAAUAAUUUCUAAAAAAAAGCUAGGACAGAAGUAAAGGGACGUUUGAGGUGCUCUGGGUCCUGGCAAUCUUUUAUUUCUUUUUUUCUUUUCCUAAUUUAUUUUUUAAAAUUUUAUUUAUUUUUUUCAUUUUUUUUUUCUUUCCCCAGUGCUGGGUCAAACCCAGGCCUUAUAUAUGCUAGACAAGUGCUUUCCCAUUGAAUCACACCUUCAACCCUUCUUAAGUUGCUUAGGGUCUUGCUAAAUUGUUCAGAAUGGCCUCAAACUUGAGAUCCUCCUUCCUCAGCCUCCUCAGCAAUGUUUUCUUUCUUUCUUUUUUUUUGGUGGUGCUAGGGAUUGAACCCAGGCCCUUGUCUAUGUGAGGCAAGCACUCUACCAACCAAGCUAUAUCCCCAGCCCAAUGUUUCAUUUCUUGACCUGGAUAAUGUUUACACAGUGUUAGCUUUAUAAUUAAAUUGUACAUAAAUAUUU